rnacentral:rRNA from 1 species
AUUGAACGCUAGCGGGAUGCCUUACACAUGCAAGUCGAACGGCAGCAUAAGAGAGCUUGCUCUCUUGAUGGCGAGUGGCGAACGGGUGAGUAAUGUAUCGGAACGUGCCCAGUAGCGGGGGAUAACUACGCGAAAGCGUAGCUAAUACCGCAUACGCCCUACGGGGAAAGGAGGGGAUCUGCAAGGACCUUUCACUAUUGGAGCGGCCGAUACCGGAUUAGCUAGUUGGUAAGGUAACGGCUUACCAAGGCGAUGAUGCAUAGCCGAGUUGAGAGACUGAUCGGCCACAAUGGAACUGAGACACGGUCCAU